rnacentral:rRNA from 1 species
AAUCAACGCUGGCGGCGUGCCUCAGACAUGCAAGUCGAACGAUUAAAGCUCUCUUCGGAGAGUGUAUAGAGUGGCGCACGGGUGAGUAACACGUAAGUAAUCUACCCUCGAGUGGGGAAUAACAACCGGAAACGGUUGCUAAUACCGCAUAAUGCAGCGGCACCGCAAGGCGACAGUUGUUAAAGAUUUAUCGCUUGAGGAGGAGCUUGCGGCUGAUUAGCUAGUUGGUAGGGUAACGGCUUACCAAGGCUACGAUCUGUAACCGGUCUAAGAGGACGGUCGGUCACACUGACACUGAAUAACGGGUCAGACUCCUACGGGAGGCAGCAGUCGGGAAUUUUGGGCAAUGGGCGAAAGCCUGACCCAGCAACGCCGCGUGAAGGAUGAAGUAUUUCGGUAUGUAAACUUCGAAAGAAUAGGAAGAAUUAAUGACGGUACUAUUUAUAAGGUCCGGCUAACUACGUG